rnacentral:RNase_P_RNA from 1 species
CCAGACGGUCGGAUGGCCGCUCUUCCGGGGUUCGCCCCGGCGGGGAGGAAAGUCCGGGCUCCACGGAAACACGGUGCCGGUUAACGGCCGGCGGGGGCGACCCCAGGGACAGUGCCACAGAAAGCAAACCGCCUGACGGGCUUCGGCCCCAAGGUAAGGGUGAAAGGGUGCGGUAAGAGCGCACCGCGCCGCCGGUAACGGGGGCGGCAGGGUAAACCCCACCGGGAGCAAGACCAAAUAGGGGCGGCAUGUUGAAUUUAUUCAGCAGGCGGGUUUCCGCGCCGCCGCCCGGGUAGGUCGCGCGAGGCGUCCGGUAACGGGCGUCCCAGAUGAAUGGCCAUCUAUCCCCCCUCAUUCAUUUGCGGGGGGUGGACAGAACCCGGCUUAAAGACCGUCUGGCUUU